AGAAAUUGUCCCUCUGGGGAGAAUGCCUGCUGUUACACAAUGGCUUUUUUUUGAGGGGAGAGGAGGAUUUCAGGUCAACUGAAGCUAGCAGCCAUUCCUUCAGGGCCGCUGGCUAAGAUGGAAGGGGAGAGAAGGACGCUGUGGUCUAGCAGGAGAAGGUCAGAGACUCCCAGAAAUCUCUAACACUGCAACCGCAGGCUGGCCAUUCCCAGCAGGAUCUCAACAGCUGACCAUCUUCCUGUGUGCACCCGAGUCCAUCUGGGGGGGUAAAUUCAACAUUUGCUCAUCUUCUCUUACUGAAUGUUAGCUUCUAUUGUCUACGUACGGGUUAAAGGGGAAAAGGAGUCCUUGGCAAUUAAAGAGCACUGGAUGGCUGAAAUCUGCAGAAAUCGGCCCAGCCUCCCCCCAGCAGCCCCUGGUCCACCCUGGGAAAAUGACUAGCUUUCUUUCCAUCUCUCCACUCCAUCUGAACGUGAUCGGAGCUAUAGCUAAGAGGCCAGCCCAAGGGUGACCUGCCAGACUUGAGUGCGUGAGCGCUGGCUGAGGCCACACCUGCUGGGCAUGUGAGGCGGCCCCUCCCCCUGCUGUGAGUGACACUGGCCUGCACUCUUCUAAUCUCAAGGCUCCAACGAGGCUAUUUAACGUGGUUCAGGUCAGCAAGUGCUUUGUGUGACCCACUUGAUACUGAAGGAUAAGGAGGUGCUUAGAAUGCCCUUUCCGUGCUCAAGGAACUGAAUGCCUCCUUGGAGGAGGAAAGUGUGCACCUGUGAAAAACCAGAGAACAUCAGCAAAUCCUGGACACAGAGACCAGAGUGGGGAAGGAAGCAGUGCUCUGGGAAGUCAGACUUAAAGCCUGCUGUUUCCGCACGAUGGGGCAUAUCAUAGAGUGUGUUUCCCAGAGUCCUUCAAAGGGAAAAGGACAUGGGGAUGCGUGGGAAACAGCCCGCAUCUUCCAUUUUUCUGUUCUGUGCAACAAGACGAUGUCCUGCUUGUGGCCCUGGUUUGUCAUUUUAUUAACCAUUACCUUGUACACAGAGAUAAUUUGCAUCCUGUAGACAGGAUGAAGUUUGCACAUUUCUGAUGAGAACUCUGGCCACACUACCAGCUCAGCCCGUUUCCGUGUCAUUCAGGAGUUGGCUCCAACCACCUGUCUACUUGGAGCACCUUCCCAGGCAGCUUACAGUCGGGCAUCAGGACACAGUCGCAAAAUACGCAAACUAAUGGCAUCCGAAGGCAGGAGAUGGCUGGGACAAACGGAGAGGUUAUAAAACUGUGGGACUGAGAGGGAAAGGGAGAAGAUGGAAAAACCUCAGGGAAGAUCAGCUUCAUUUCAUAACCUAAUGUAGCCAAGUUACAUAAGGAAAUGUUUCCUAACUACUGGUAGGCAAAUAUUAAACAUAAACACAAUAAAGAUAAAAAUUUAAAAGCCAAAAUAAAAACUACAGAAAUGUAACCAGAAAAACACAAAUCAUAACCAAUAGGGGAGGAGAGAACUUUUGUUUAAGCCAGCUUUGUUAAAGUAUAAUUGACAAAUAAAAUUCUAUAUAUUU
rnacentral:lncRNA from 1 species